CUGCAUCCACUGAUAUACCUUGAACAGUUUGUGGUUGUUCUUCUGGUUUGCACUAGGAUGCAAAAGAAAAUGCUCUCUGCACUUCCUGCCUGUCUUUGUGGCAGUCCAGAUUGAAUUGGGGAGUACAUGU
ensembl:snoRNA